rnacentral:misc_RNA from 1 species
AAGGAUCAUUACAAGUGAGGCUACCGAACGUUGGAAACAGCGGUUAGGAGCUUACACCCACCCGUGUUUACAUACUAUUGUUGCUUUGGCGGGCCGUGGCCUCCACUGCGGGCUCUGCUCGUGUGUGCCCGCCAGAGAACCAAACUCUGAAUGUUAGUGAUGUCUGAGUACUAUCUAAUAGUUAAAACUUUCAACAACGGAUCUCUUGGUUCUGGCAUCGAUGAAGAACGCAGCGAAAUGCGAUAAGUAAUGUGAAUUGCAGAAUUCAGUGAAUCAUCGAAUCUUUGAACGCACAUUGCGCCCUGUGGUAUUCCGCAGGGCAUGCCUGUUCGAGCGUCAUUUAACCACUCACGCCUAGCGUGGUAUUGGGGCACGCGGUCUCCGCGGCCCUCAAAGUUAGUGGCGGCGCCGGUGGGCUCUAAGCGUAGUACAUACUCCCGCUAUAGAGUUCCCCCGGUGGCUCGCCAGAACCCCCAAUUUUUACAGGUUGACCUCGGAUCAGGUAGGGAUACCCGCUGAACUUAA